AACGCUGGCGGCGUGCUUAACACAUGCAAGUCGAACGAGAAUCUGUGGAUCGAGGAUUCGUCCAAGUGAAGCAGAGGACAGUGGCGGACGGGUGAGUAACGCGUGAGGAACCUGCCUUCCAGAGGGGGGACAACAGUUGGAAACGACUGCUAAUACCGCAUGAUACAUUUGGGUGGCAUCAUCUGAAUGUCAAAGAUUUAUCGCUGAAAGAUGGACCCGCGUCCGAUUAGUUAGUUGGUGGGGUAACGGCCCACCAAGACUGCGAUCGGUAGCCGACCUGAGAGGGUGACCGGCCACAUUGGGACUGAGACACGGCCCAGACUCCUACGGGAGGCAGCAGUGGGGAAUAUUGCACAAUGGAGGAAACUCUGAUGCAGCGACGCCGCGUGAGCGAAGAAGUAUUUCGGUAUGUAAAGCUCUGUCAGCAGGGAAGAUAAUGACGGUACCUGACCAAGAAGCCCCGGCUAACUACGUG
rnacentral:rRNA from 1 species